UACGUAGGGGGCAAGCGUUGUCCGGAUUCAUUGGGCGUAGAGAGCGUGUAGGCGGCCAGGUAGGUCGGUUGUGAAAACUGGAGGCUCAACCUUCAGAGGUCGACCGAAACCAUCUGGCUAGAGUCCGGGAGAGGAGAGUGGAAUUCCUGGUGUAGCGGUGAAAUGCGUAGAUAUCGGGAGGAAUACCAGUGGCGAAGGCGGCUUCCUGGCCUGUUCUUGACGCUGAGGCGCGAAAGCUAGGGUAGCAAACGGG
rnacentral:rRNA from 1 species